CCUACGGGAGGCAGCAGUGAGGAAUAUUGGUCAAUGGGCUUACGCCUGAACCAGCCAAGUCGCGUGAGGGAAGACUGCCCUAUGGGUUGUAAACCUCUUUUGUCAGGGAGCAACGCCGGCUACGUGUAGCCGGACUGAGAGUACCUGAAGAAAAAGCAUCGGCUAACUCCGUGCCAGCAGCCGCGGUAAUACGGAGGAUGCGAGCGUUAUCCGGAUUUAUGGGGUUAAAAGGGUGCGUAGGCGGAAUGCCAAGUCAGCGGUAAAAUCGCGGGGCUCAACCUCGCUCCGCCGUUGAAACUGGCGUUCUUGAGUGGGCGAGAAGUAUGCGGAAUGCGUGGUGUAGCGGUGAAAUGCAUAGAUAUCGAGAGGAACACUCGUGGCGAAGGCGGGUUCCUGGACAUUAACUGACGCUGAGGCACGAAGGCCAGGGGAGCGAAAGGGAUUAGAUACCCCAGUAGUC
rnacentral:rRNA from 1 species